UCGAUGGGCGUCUCAGCCUUUCCUUGUGGACCGAGGAGGUGACAGCCGGAGCAGAGUGCACGGUCGACAGCGGCAGAUUACAUCGUUACUCGUUCUGUUUCGCGUUUAAUAUUUGUUUAAAGUUUCAUACUGAAUGUCAUGCCCUGCGUGAGUGGAUGUCUGACCCCUCCCCCACCCACCCCCGCCUUUUAAACAAGGUCGCCCUGCAGGGGUCACGUGUCAUUACACGAAGCCUCGCUCAGGACCUGUGCACCGCACCACCCGCAGCUCGUCGUCGCAAAACACAGGGAGGGCUCCGUCGAUCGAGCGCAUGCUCGGAGGCUCGCCGUCCGAUGACAGCUGCUGACGGCACCGUCCCCGAAAAGCAGCCCGCGGGCGCGUGAAGUGACGCCGCGGUUUGUUUUUAAAGGUCACCAAAAGAACCCAACCGCUUCUCGGGACCCGGCGUGGUCGCCACAGAAUUCUCCCCAGCCCCACCAAAGCGAUUACGGCUACACAAUUAAUACACACACUUCGAGUUUCGCCUAAUUAGUUUACCCGUGUUAACAUUUUUGACUACAUUUUUUUUCUAAUCCGGUGUUAUUUUCACCUGCUGUACAAGUGUUAUUGAAUUUUUAAAAAAUGUUCCCUAGGUCAUAAUAACAUUGUUAAAUAUUUAAGAAUUUUACAGUGUUGCCAUAAAUCUACGCACGGCACGCACUGCAUAUAAUAUUGUGUCGGUGUCGUGUAAGGCGUCUACGGGGAAUUCUCUCAAUUGGAGGGCGAGCUGGUGGUGAGAGAGAGAGGGUGGUGAGCAGGUGGUGAGUAAGCGGUGGGAGGGUGAGCGGGUGGUGAGGGAGUGGGUGGUGAGCAGGUGGUGAGCGAGCGGUGGGCGGGUGAGCGAGUGGAGGGUGAGCGAUCGAGCGGUGCUGUGGGUCUGCCAAGCCCGAACGCGCAAUGCCGCGUUGCCACCAGCGCCACUCGCUGUCACUGCCGGGCAGACUUAGUCCAGUGCAUCCACCAGGUGGACGAUGGACGGACACCACUAAUGCAACACGCUUUCAGCCUCGGUUGGAAAUCGUUAAAAUCAGCGGCAGAAGUCACAAACAAAAAAACACGCCGCUCGUCCAUUCCCCCACGGAGUUGCCUUACGAGGAUGUGCCGAGUUGGGGCUGCAAAGAAGGCCCAGGAAGCACUCUCGCCACAUUACAGCGACGGCAGCUUGAGCUUUCAAUUAGCUGGAAGGGCAGCAGGGCCAUCAACGUCGCGUCCAGAAUCGUGCGAAUGCAAGAGCCGAUGGCGCAAUGCCCCGCGCAAUUCUACGUGCGACGUCCCAUAUCCUUCGUCAAGCCCGGACGUCGUCCUGCAAAGGCAGUGCCUGCCACAAGCGGCGACAAUUUAUCAGCGAUGUUGCGUGACAUUUAAGGUCGCGUUUCAUUCACAGCGGGGACACUUCCAGCGAAGCCAACACGUGGUCACAGCACCGACACUCCGCAGGUGCGGCUUGCCAAGUGGAAACGUCCUCUGUCAUUUGCACGUGUGUGAGCGUACGUUUUGAAAAGUGUACAGGAGUGGUGGUGCGAUGGUUAGCGCGCUGCGCUGCGAACCGCACCAUCGGUGUUUGAUUCCUUACCAUGGCCGAUAUCAUUGGUGAAUUACGGUGUAAGUGAAAUAGUCCAGGGCAUUCCCUAAGCCAACUCAGACUCGAAUACGUCCCUGGUGCAGUGUGUAGCCAUUACUCUUGGGGAGAGAAAACUAGCCCAGCCAUAGCGCUGGCCACACCACCACUUUGUGCACCAUUAUUGCCUGAAGAGGUGCUCACUAACACCAAUUGCUCUGAGAGAAAAGUAAAGUAGGCUACACGGUGCAACUUUGUGUGUGAGCAAGCACGCACGUGUACGCACAGUGUGGUAGACGCAGAGCACAUUCGGAGGGAGAAAAGAGUCGGUAGAGAAUUAAUUAAUUGCAGGUGUACAAUUCAUGUGAAACGUGUCAAAAGCGGCAGAUGACAUACAACGGCCGUCUAAACAUCGUGCCUGUGUGUGAGUAUAAUUUAUACAGGGAGCGGUAGUGCAGUGGUUAGCGCACUGCAGUGCACUGCGCUACGAACCCAGCAACCCGAAUUCAAUUCCUGCUCGUGGCCAACAUCAGUGGCGAAUAUUUAAACCCGGUCCUGGGCCACUACCCCUAGGUUGAUGCGUAAAAAUCGACACUGAGGAGUAGAAAGUGGCCCAGCAUGGUGUUGGCCACACCACCCCCCUCGCGUGACGUUUCCGGCCUGCACAGGCGCUCACAAACGGCACUCGCCACAACAGUCUGUUAAAGGCUACACGGGGGAUCUUUGUAGGAUACAUGAGCCACGCAACUGCUGCAGGAAGAGGCCUAAUAAUUUCGAUUUAAAGCUUUCGUGACUGCAGGGAUUCAUCUUCUUGGUUCUUUCGAUAAAGUCACGU